rnacentral:rRNA from 1 species
GAAUUACUGGGCGUAAAGCGCACGCAGGCGGUCUGUCAAGUCGGAUGUGAAAUCCCCGGGCUCCACCUGGGAACUGCAUUCGAAACUGGCAGCCAGAGUUCUUGUAGAGGGGGGGUAGAAUUCCAGGUGUAGCGGUGAAAUGCGUAGAGAUCUGGAGGAAUACCCGCUGGCGAAGGGCGGCCCCCUGGACAAAGACUGACGCUCAGGUGCGAAGCGUGGGGAGCAAACAGGAUUAGAUACCCUGGUAGUCACGCCGUAAACGAUGUCGACUUGGAGGUUGUGCCCUGAGGCGUGGCUUCCGGAGCUAACGCGUUAAGUCGACCGCCUGGGGAGUACGGCCGCAAGGUUAAAACUCAAAUGAAUUGACGGGGGCCCGCACGAGCGGUGGAGCAUGUGGUUUAAUUCGAUGCAACGCGAAGAACCUUACCUACUCUUGACAUCCAGAGAACUUAGCAGAGAUGCUUUGGUGCCUUCGGGAACUCUGAGACAGGUGCUGCAUGGCGUCGUCAGCUCGUGUUGUGAAAUGUUGGGUUAAGUCCCGCAACGAGCGCAACCCUUAUCCUUUGUUGCCAGCGGUCCGGCCGGGAACUCAAAGGAGACUGCCAGUGAUAAACUGGAGGAAGGUGGGGAUGACGUCAAGUCAUCAUGGCCCUUACGAGUAGGGCUACACACGUGCUACAAUGGCAUAUACAAAGAGAAGCGACCUCGCGAGAGCAAGCGGACCUCAUAAAGUAUGUCGUAGUCCGGAUUGGAGUCUGCAACUCGACUCCAUGAAGUCGGAAUCGCUAGUAAUCGUAGAUCAGAAUGCUACGGUGAAUACGUUCCCGGGCCUUGUACACACCGCCCGUCACACCAUGGGAGUGGGUUGCAAAAGAAGUAGGUAGCUUACCCUUCUGGGAGGGCGCUUACCACUCUGUGAUUCAUGAGCGGGG